CCAAUCUAGAGUNUCGGAGAGGAAAGUGGAAUUCNUAGUGUAGCGGUGAAAUGCGUAGAUAUUAGGAAGANCACCAGUGGCGAAGGCGACUUUCUGGACGAAAACUGACGCUGAGGCGCGAAAGCCAGGGGAGCGAACGGGAUUAGAUACCCCGGUAGACCUGGCCGUAAACGAUGGGUACUAGGUGUAGGAGGUAUCGACCCCUUCUGUGCCGGAGUUAACGCAAUAAGUACCCCGCCUGGGGAGUACGACCGCAAGGUUGAAACUCAAAGGAAUUGACGGGGGCCCGCACAAGCGGUGGAGUAUGUGGUUUAAUUCGACGCAACGCGAAGAACCUUACCAGGUCUUGACAUUGAUGGACAGAACCAGAGAUGGUUCCUCUUCUUCGGAAGCCAGAAAACAGGUGGUGCACGGUUGUCGUCAGCUCGUGUCGUGAGAUGUUGGGUUAAGUCCCGCAACGAGCGCAACCCCUAUCUUAUGUUGCCAGCACUUUGGGUGGGGACUCAUGAGAGACUGCCGCAGACAAUGCGGAGGAAGGCGGGGAUGACGUCAAAUCAUCAUGCCCCUUAUGACCUGGGCUACACACGUACUACAAUGGGAGUUAAUAGACGGAAGCGAGAUCGCGAGAUGGAGCAAACCCGAGAAACACUCUCUCAGUUCGGAUCGUAGGCUGCAACUCGCCUACGUGAAGUCGGAAUCGCUAGUAAUCGCAGGUCAGCAUACUGCGGUGAAUACGUUCCCGGGCCUUGUACACACCGCCCGUCACACCACGAAAGUCGGAAGUGCCCAAAGCCGGUGGGGUAACCUUCGGGAGCCAGCCG
rnacentral:rRNA from 1 species